rnacentral:ribozyme from 1 species
UGCCCAGCAACUCCUAUCCCUACCUCCUCGUGGUACUGGUACGAGUAACCUUGGGGGAGAUCGGGUUACCAACCCCGGUGGGAGCUUUAGUCGUAUGCUGACAGGGUAGG